rnacentral:rRNA from 1 species
AUUGAACGCUGGCGGCAGGCCUAACACAUGCCAGUCGAGCGGCGCGCCGGACGGGUGAGGAAUGCCUAGGAAUCUGCCUGGUCGUGGGGGAUAACGUUCGGAACCGGGCGCUAAUACCACAUCCUUGCACAUGAGCCUAGGUCGGUAUAGGUUGCUGGUGGGGUAAAGGCCUAACAAGGAGACGAUACGUAACUGGUCUGAGAGGAUGAUCAGUCACACUGGAACUGAGACACGGUCCAGACUCCUACGGGAGGCAGCAGUGGGGAAUAUUGGACAAUGGGCGAAAGCCUGAUGCAGCCAUGCCGCGUGUAUGAAGAAGGCCUUCGGGUUGUAAAGUACUUUCAGUCGGGAGACGUUACCGACAGAAGAAGCACCGGCUAACUCCGUGCCAGCAGCCGCGGUAAUAC